AGAGGGUGCAAGCGUUAAUCGGAAUUACUGGGCGUAAAGGGUGCGUAGGUGGUUUGUUAAGUCAGGCGUGAAAUCCUCGGGCUCAACCUGGGAACUGCGCUUGAUACUGGCAGACUCGAGUGUGGUAGAGGAUAGUGGAAUUCCCGGUGUAGCGGUGAAAUGCGUAGAUAUCGGGAGGAACAUCAGUGGCGAAGGCGGCUACCUGGACUAACACUGACACUGAGGCACGAAAGCGUGGGUAGCAAACAGGAUUAGAUACCCUGGUAGUCCACGCCCUAAACGAUGGGUACUAGACGUCGGGAAGCUUGUCUUCUUGGUGUCGCAGCUAACGCAAUAAGUACCCCGCCUGGGGAGUACGGUCGCAAGUUUA
rnacentral:rRNA from 1 species